rnacentral:rRNA from 1 species
AAACCAACAGGGAUUGCCUUAGUAACGGCGAGUGAAGCGGCAACAGCUCAAAUUUGAAAUCUGGCUCUUUUAGGGUCCGAGUUGUAAUUUGCAGAGGGCGCUUUGGCUUUGGCAGCGGUCCAAGUUCCUUGGAACAGGACGUCACAGAGGGUGAGAAUCCCGUACGUGGUCGCUAGCUAUUGCCGUGUAAAGCCCCUUCGACGAGUCGAGUUGUUUGGGAAUGCAGCUCUAAAUGGGAGGUAAAUUUCUUCUAAAGCUAAAUAUUGGCCAGAGACCGAUAGCGCACAAGUAGAGUGAUCGAAAGAUGAAAAGCACUUUGGAAAGAGAGUCAAACAGCACGUGAAAUUGUUGAAAGGGAAGCGCUUGCAGCCAGACUUGCUUGCAGUUGCUCAUCCGGGCUUUUGCCCGGUGCACUCUUCUGCAGGCAGGCCAGCAUCAGUUUGGGCGGUGGGAUAAAGGUCUCUGACACGUUCCUUCCUUCGGGUUGGCCAUAUAGGGGA